GCAAGAGGCUGCAAGGCGAAAAGGAAACGGAGAUGAUCGGGUCUGUGGAAGCUCUUGGUCUGGGGCUGGGCUGGAAAACCCUACCGCCCCGCCAUGUUUGUCUUACAUGGAGUGAGGUCUUUUCCAAUGCCUCCAAUGCCGAUGGUUUCCAGGCACCCCUCCCUUUCCCUCUCUGAGUCUUUUGAGGAUUGGUGUGACAUGCGAUGGUGAAGAAGGCGCCGGGAGGAGGGAGGAGGAAGCUCAGGGAUUCCUACAAGCUGUGGGGAUGGGGGCAUCGCCGUGCCCAUACCUGCUCUGGCUGAGAGAUGCAGGUUGAUGGUGCUUGCCGAUCCCUCGCAUGCCUAUGGUUUUUAGUCGCUCGUUCCUCUCCCUUGCCCCUCUUGUAAUGCUCUUACGUUAUGGAUGCGGCUUACAGUAAGAACAGGUGUUCUUAUUUCAGCCGCCUCCUCCACCAACCAUUCUGUCCGCUGCCGGAGAGCUCCGACAAAGCACCCAGCCGUUUCAGAACAUCCCCCCUCUGCAUCUUUUGUCGUCGGCUGCAACAGAAUGGCACCGCACCACGCAUCCGUCGCCCCCCUCCCUUUAAACCUCCUCCCCCGGUGGUGCCGAGUUAUCCCUCCAUGGUUUGGCUCCUCAUGAAACCUCCACCAGCUGCAAAAUACCAUCUCUACCAACCAUUCUUUCCGCAGCCUGAAAGCUCCGACAAAGCACCCAGCCGUUUCAGAAGGGCAACUCCUUGUUUCCUUGCCCCCAUUCCACCGCUUUGACCUAGUGGGGUUCGCCUUAUCUUGAUCCAUCCCCGGCCAAUUUAGUCGCUCCCCAAAACCAACCCCCACUCCCCCUCCUCUCCCUCCAUUCGAUGCUCCCAUCCGGGCGCUCCGUCGCUUUCUUCGCCGUGCUCCUGAUAGGGUUACUCGUCUCCGGCGUGUUGACGCCCGUGGUGCUUGAUCCGUCGGCGGAGAGCGAAUUUUAGGGGACCGCACCUGCCGCCGCUGCUUCUGCUUCCCCUCUUCCUUCUCCUCCUACUCCUUGGCUUUCUCUUCCUGCUCCGCCUACUAGCGAGAUCUUCCAGGAAGAAAAAUGGACCGACCGGCCAUUGUCGGGGGAUUUGGUACCGGUCGAGGAGUCUCCUCCUUUUGUCCCGGAUCCCAAAUCGGCGUUGCUAUUGAGUUCGGCUGAAAGCUUAGUAGUGGCUAGCUGCUGCAACAAUGACAAUUUGUUAGCUGUGAUAGGCGUUCUUUUAAGCAUGUCGGCUUGUGCGAAUAUGUGUUUCAAAGUAGCAGUAGCUGGAUUAUGGAGGGCAGAUUCUUCCUCGCUUUGCCAAAUGGUACUAUCUAUUUCAUGAAUAAAUCUACAAAACCUCAGUGGGAGCUUUUGAUAGGUCAGCCACUAUCAUAUUCAUGGAGAUCUCCUUCAAAUGAUGAUCCUGAUUAUAUUGUGUUUUCUGAUAGCAAUGGGGAACUUUAUGAAUAUAGCAAGGAUGCUGGCAUAAGGAAACAUGACUGGACAGUGGAGGAAUAUAUGUCCAGAGAGCACCUGUGGUUGAAGGUUCAGUUAUCACCACUAGGACAAAGACAUCAACUUUUUAUGUUUUUUAUGCUGAUAGUGGGGAGUUAAUUUAUCAUGAUAAUGAGCCUUUUAGUUUGCCGACUGUUGGUGCUCCUAUGGCUAAAGAACAGUCAGUUGCAUCCAAGCUAGUGACUGGCAAUGCUACUUAUAUUACCAUCAUAAGAACAGAUUAUUUCCUGAAUAGUUAUGAUAUAAAUAAUCAUUUAUGGAGUGUGAUGAUUUCUCGUAUCAGUGCUCAUAAUGUUGGCCCUGGACUGACAAAUACCAUGUAUGAUGAAAUGGAAACUUCAUCCGUGUCUGGAAGAAAUAUUCCUGUCUACUUUACUGGCGAGACUGAUCAACUACCUAACCCCAAGGCUAUGCUUCCUCCCUCAUUUUCUGAACCAAAUACUGGGAUGUGGGAUGGACAAGACUAUGAGCAAGCUUAUGAAUGCGAAUCAGCCAGUAAGUGUUCCUUAGGAAUUGUCACAACUUCCGUUAUGGACCAUGACCAGAUAGUGGAGAGACUAAACGAUGAACAUAUUUCUUUAGUUGGAUCACGAGGCUUUCCUACUUCCCCAAAUGGAUCUCCACUGGGAAAUUGCAUUUUUGAUAGGCCAUAAUUUCCUACAGCAUGUUCUAGUUUUGUAAACUCAAGACAGAGACCCAAAGGUCCAAUCAACUGGCUUUAUCACGAACAAGAGAGUUCUAAGACAUCACGGAACUCAUUGGAUGAUUCAAAUACUUAUUCAAUCGACAGACAUUCUCAUGUUCAGCAAGGCCGUGGCUUGUCAACACAAUCUAUUUAUGGUCAUAGUUGGCUAUUUAUUCUCUCUGUGCCUAUAUUUGCAUUUUGCUAUUUUGGGUUGAGAAAGCUGUUCAAGAAUGAUAAAAAAUAUAAUGAUUUGGAGGAAAAGCAAUCUGCCGUUCCUAAGAAGAGAAAAUCUCGGAAGUCUGGAAAGUUGAAAAAUGCUACCAUCAGUGUUAGUCAUGACAGACAUACUUUAUCCAUGAAAGAGAAUGCUGAAACCAAUGGGCAUAAUCAAAUUCAGGUCAAUGGAAGUUAUUCAUUUAUACCUGAUGGUGAUAGUGAUGGGCGUUGGGUUGGAAGACUUUUUGUUACAAAUAUUGAAAUCGGUCACGGGAUCAAUGGUACAGUCGUCUUUGAAGGAUUUUAUGGUGGUCGUCCAGUUGCUGUAAAACGGCUUCUUCGUGCACAUCAUGAUGUUGCCUUUAAAGAGAUUCAGAAUCUUACUGCAUCUGAUCGACACCCAAAUAUUGUUCGGUGGUAUGGAGUAGAACAAGAUUUGGAUUUUUUGUAUAUCUCACUGGAGCGUUGAAUUUGCAGCCUAAGUGACUUAAUAUGCAUAUGCUCAGAUUCUUCUUCACAUUCAGUAUCUGUGGAAAAUCAAACUUCAAAUUCUGUGGUCGAAGAUAAAGUUCAAUUAAGCUUGGUGAAAGGUAUCAGAAAGGAUGUUAACUUGUGGAGAUCAAAUGGGCUUCCUUCAAGGCAACUCUUAAAGAUAAUGAGGAGGAACAUUUUUCACUUCGGCUUCAACUGUAUGAAAAAGAACUUGAAUUGGAUAUACUUGUUGGGUUUGUUUACUUUUACCUCUUUUUAUUUGCUUGGAUCUCAAAUAAAAUAUUGUUCAUCAUCCCAUUAUUCUCUUUACUUCGUAUACUAAAUUUAAUGCUCGUGUCAUACUGAUCCACUUGUUAAUGCUGAUUAACUUGUUGAGGGUGUUUCAUAUGUUGUGUGCUUUGUGAAUUGAGUCUCAUAUAUAAAGCAGUAGUUGCAAGGGUAUUUGUUCUUUAUGCUGAACAAAUGAAACUCUUUGUUCCUCAAGGAUUUGUUCUUUAUGCUGAACAAAUGAGGCUGCAGGAAACUCUUGGACCUGUUCCUCAAGGAUUUGAUAUGUACUUUGCAAGUCGAUUCCCAAAGCUCCUAAUUUAAGUCUACAAAGUGGUUUACCGAUUCUGUAAGGAAGAGGAUUCCCUUAGCAAGUAUUUCCAAAGCAGCCUUUUGUUCAAAAUGCUUGUUUUGUACUUCUUGGAUGUAAUAACUAAACCCUAGUAUAUUAUCCUAAAAAGGUUGUAUCUACUAUGUUUAUAAUCCAAAUCCUGCUUAAUUCAUUGCAAAUUGUGAUUCACAUUUGGAA